ACGCACUGUUCGUAAUCUGGUUCACUCUCAGUGUGAACACCUGGUUCCAUUCCAGUGCCAUAGUGAUGCUCCAGUGAGGCAGGGGAGUGGUUCACCCUUUGUGCCAACUCCCUGUUCACUCUCUGGAAACAUGA
ensembl:snoRNA small nucleolar RNA, H/ACA box 54